rnacentral:tRNA from 1 species
GCACGGAUGGCCGAGUGGUCUAAGGCGCCAGACUCAAGCGAAUAGCUUCACACGAGUUCAGUGUGUGUAAGGGGCCUUCUGGUAUCGUAAUCGAUGCGUGGGUUCGAAUCCCACUCCGUGCA